rnacentral:rRNA from 1 species
UAGGGAAUCUUCCACAAUGGGCGAAAGCCUGACGGAGCAACGCCGCGUGAGUGAUGAAGGUCUUCGGAUCGUAAAACUCUGUUAUUAGGGAAGAACAAAUGUGUAAGUAACUAUGCACGUCUUGACGGUACCUAAUCAGAAAGCCACGGCUAACUACGUGCCAGCAGCCGCGGUAAUACGUAGGUGGCAAGCGUUAUCCGGAAUUAUUGGGCGUAAAGCGCGCGUAGGCGGUUUUUUAAGUCUGAUGUGAAAGCCCACGGCUCAACCGUGGAGGGUCAUUGGAAACUGGAAAACUUGAGUGCAGAAGAGGAAAGUGGAAUUCCAUGUGUAGCGGUGAAAUGCGCAGAGAUAUGGAGGAACACCAGUGGCGAAGGCGCCUUUCUGGUCUGUAACUGACGCUGAUGUGCGAAAGCGUGGGGAUCAAACAGG